rnacentral:rRNA from 1 species
AGUCAAUGAUCGAAAGAUUGAUCUAGUUACUUAGAAAGAUGAAGAUUAUAAAUAAAAAUAAAAAUAAUAAUGUAGAAUAUAAAAUCUAUAGUAUAUUAAAAAGAAUAAUGAUGUUUUAAUAUAUAAUAGUCUUAACAAAAAUUAGUGCCAGCAGUUGCGGCUAAACUAAGAAGACGAACGCUAAUCAUUAAAGGCUUAAAGGAUCCGUAGUAUAUUAUAUUAAAUAUAUAUAAUAGAGUUAAAUAAUAUAUUAAUGAAAAAUUAUAGUGAGGGAUGAUAUCUUAUGAUAAUAAUUAGACAAUCAAAAUUGAAGAUAUUAAUAAAUAUUUAACUGACAUUGAGGGAUGAAGGCAUGAGUAGCAAAACGGAUUAGAUACCCGAGUAGUUCAUGCAGUAAACGAUGAAUACUAAAUAAAAUAUAAGUGAAGACUUAAGUAUUCCGCCAGGUGAGUAUAUUCGCAAGAAUGAAAUCCAAGACAAUAGACGGUUACAGAUGUAGGCAGUGGAUUGUGUUAU